rnacentral:rRNA from 1 species
AGAGUUUGAUCAUGGCUCAGGAUGAACGCUGGCGGCGUGCCUAAUACAUGCAAGUCGAGCGGUAAGGCUUUCACAGAUUAUUUGAACAGAUAAGUCCGGCAAUUGCCGGAUACUGUUUGAAAAAUGUUUAUUACUAGGCUAGUGAUAAACAGUCGAAUAAUGUGUGAAAGUACACGAGCGGCGGACGGCUGAGUAACGCGUAGGAACGUACCCCAAACUGAGGGAUAAGCUAUCGAAAGAUGGUCUAAUACCGCAUGUGCUCUAAGGAGUAAAGCUUCGGCGGUUUGGGAGCGGCCUGCGUAUGAUUAGCUUGUUGGUGAGGUAACGGCUCACCAAGGCGACGAUCAUUAGCUGGCCUGAGAGGAUGAUCAGCCAGACUGGGACUGAGACACGGCCCAGACUCCUACGGGAGGCAGCAGUAGGGAAUUUUCCACAAUGGACGAAAGUCUGAUGGAGCAACGCCGCGUGCAGGACGACGGCCUUCGGGUUGUAAACUGCUUUUAUGAGUGAUGAUUAUGACAGUAGCUCAAGAAUAAGGGUCGGCUAACUACGUGCCAGCAGCCGCGGUCAUACGUAGGACCCAAGCGUUAUCCGGAAUUACUGGGCGUAAAGAGUUGCGUAGGCGGCUUGUUAAGUUGGUAGUGAAAUCGUGCGGCUCAACCGCAUACACUUACCAAAACUAGCAAGCUAGAGUGUAGAAGAGGUCACUGGAAUUCCAAGUGUAGGAGUGAAAUCCGUAGAUAUUUGGAGGAACACCGAUGGCGUAGGCAGGUGACUGGUCUAUUACUGACGCUAAGGCACGAAAGCGUGGGGAGCAAACGGGAUUAGAUACCCUAGUAGUCC